rnacentral:pre_miRNA from 1 species
UGGUCAAACUGGGAAGUUUCUGAGGUUCAUGACCGCCUGAAAGCCUUCCUUUUUGACUGUG